GAUGAACGCUGGCGGCGUGCCUAACACAUGCAAGUCGAGCGAUUCUCUUCGGAGAAGAGCGGCGGACGGGUGAGUAACGCGUGGGUAACCUGCCCUGUACACACGGAUAACAUACCGAAAGGUAUGCUAAUACGGGAUAACAUAAGAAAUUCGCAUGUUUUUCUUAUCAAAGCUCCGGCGGUACAGGAUGGACCCGCGUCUGAUUAGUUAGUUGGUGAGGUAACGGCUCACCAAGGCGACGAUCAGUAGCCGACCUGAGAGGGUGAUCGGCCACAUUGGAACUGAGACACGGGCCAAACUCCUACGGGAGGCAGCAGUGGGGAAUAUUGCACAAUGGGCGAAAGCCUGAUGCAGCAACGCCGCGUGAGCGAUGAAGGCCUUCGGGUCGUAAAGCUCUGUCCUCAAGGAAGAUAAUGACGGUACUUGAGGAGGAAGCCCCGGCUAACUACGUGCCAGCAGCCGCAGUAAUAC
rnacentral:rRNA from 1 species